rnacentral:rRNA from 1 species
UACGUAGGGGGCAAGCGUUGUCCGGAAUCAUUGGGCGUAAAGAGCGCGUAGGCGGCCCUGUAAGUCCGCUGUGAAAGUCAAGGGCUCAACCCCUUGGGAUGCCGGUGGAUACUGCAGGGCUAGAGUCCGGAAGAGGCGAGUGGAAUUCCUGGUGUAGCGGUGAAAUGCGCAGAUAUCAGGAGGAACACCGAUGGCGAAGGCAGCUCGCUGGGACGGUGACUGACGCUGAGGCGCGAAAGCGUGGGGAGCAAACAGG